GUCUACAACUAUACCACUUUCAAAAUAUUUCAUUUCAUCUGAUCUAGGAGGCUGAGGAGGGUUGGUCCUGCUUAGUACAUGGAUGGGAGAAUUUAUGAUGUGCCC
rnacentral:rRNA from 1 species